UACGGAGGGUGCAAGCGUUAAUCGGAAUUACUGGGCGUAAAGCGCACGCAGGUGGCUGAGUCAGUCGAUUGUGAAAGCCCUGGGCUUAACCUGGGAAUUGCAGUCGAUACUACUUAGCUAGAGUAUGGGAGAGGGCAGUGGAAUUCCCGGUGUAGCGGUGAAAUGCGUAGAUAUUGGGAGGAACACCAGUGGCGAAGGCGGCUACCUGGACCGGUACUGACGCUGAUGCGCGAAAGCGUGGGGAGCAAACAGG
rnacentral:rRNA from 1 species